GACGAACGCUGGCGGCGUGCUUAACACAUGCAAGUCGAACGGAGUUGAGGAGCUUGCUCCUCAACUUAGUGGCGAACGGGUGAGUAACGCGUGAGGAACCUGCCUUUCAGUGGGGACGAACAGUUGGAACGACUGCUAAUACCGCAUGAUACUAUUGAGUGGCAUCACUUGAUAGUCAAAGCUUUAUGUGCUGAAGAUGGUCUCGCGUCUGAUUAGCUAGUUGGUGGGGUAACGGCCCACCAAGGCGACGAUCAGUAGCCGACCUGAGAGGGUGAUCGGCCACAUUGGAACUGAGACACGGUCCAAACUCCUACGGGAGGCAGCAGUGGGGGAAUAUUGCACAAUGGGCGAAAGCCUGAUGCAGCAACGCCGCGUGAAGGAUGAAGGCCUUCGGUCGGUAAACUUACUGUCCUUGGGAAGAAGAACUGACGGUACCCUUGGAGGAAGCCCCGGCUAACUACGUGCCAGCAGCCG
rnacentral:rRNA from 1 species